rnacentral:tRNA from 1 species
GGUUUCAUAGUGUAGUGGUCAUCAUGUCUGAUUAACAUGCGGAAGUUCCUGUGUUCAAUCCCCACUGAAACCU